CAGUAGAGAAUCUUGUGCAAUAAACGAAAGUAUGACACAGAGAGGACACAUUUAAUUGAGCCCGUCAAAUUAAGUGCCAGCCGACGCGGUUAAACUUAAGGGCUGGUCUUUAUAAGUAAAAAGGCGUAAAGGAUGUGUAGGCCAAGAAACGAUCCAAGUAGGUAAAUGGAAUUUUUCUGGAGCGGUAGAAUGUGAGGAUAGAAAAUAGAACCCCUAAGGUAAAAACUAUUUACUACAAGGUAGGCUGAAACAUGAGAGUGUGGGGAGCAAACAGGAUUAGAGACCCUGGUAGUCCACACUGUAAACUUUGAAGAUGAUGCUUAGCAGACCCGAAAGGUAAAAUCUUCCGCCUGAGUAGUACGAUCGCAAGAUUAAAAUUCAAAAACUUUGGCUGUUCACUAUUUCGAUUAGAGGAGCGUGUAGUUUAAUUCGAUGGUCCGCGUGUUACCUUACCCCAACUUGAAUCUGUGACCGGUAUUGCAUGGCCGUCGUAAGUUCGUGUAUUAAGCUAGAAGGGACCCAACCCGGGCAUUUGCCCGGAGGAAGUCAGGUCUUAUGAUCCGAAUGUUGGGGGAUUUUAUGCGCUACAUUUUCUUAUAUAAUGAGAAACCUGGAAGGUGAGUCUCUAAAGUAAGAGUUCGGAAGGUCGCUGUAAGACGACUGGAAGUUGGAUUUAAUAGUAAUCGGAAAGUAGGGCGUUCCGGUGAAUUGGUACAAGUGUUAGCACAAAUUGCCCGUCACCUUUACUUAGAAUGGUUAUUCGGAUGUCUUCGGUGAUUAUGAAUGCCUCAGG
rnacentral:rRNA from 1 species